CCCUUAGAUGUCCUGGGCCGCACGCGCGCUACACUGAACGGAUCAGCGCGUUUUCCCUUCCCGAGAGGGACGGGUAACCUGCUGAACCCCGUUCGUGGUAGGGAUCGGGGCUUGCAAUUAUUCCCCGUGAACCAGGAAUGCCCAGUAAGUGCAAGUCAUAAGCUUGCGUUGAUUACGUCCCUGCCCUUUGUACACACCGCCCGCCGCUACUACCGAUUGAACGUUUUAGUGAGGUACUCGGACUGAGCCUCAGAAGAUUCACGUCUUUUGUGCUGCUCGGGAAGAUUCCCAAACUUGAGCGUUUAGAGGAAGUAAAAGUCGUAACA
rnacentral:rRNA from 1 species